CAAGGUUUCCAGGGGAAGGUUCGUCCGCCCUGGGUUAGUCGGGACCUAAGCUGAGGCCGAAAGGCGUAGGUGAUGGACAACAGGUUGAUAUUCCUGUACUACCGAUAACCGUUUGAGAGAAGGGAUGACACAGUAGGAUAAGCUAAGCACACUGUUGGUUAUGUGUGCCCAAGCAUUGAGGCAGUCAAAGUAGGCAAAUCCGCUUUGAUAAUGCUGGGAUGUGAUGGGGAGCGAAAUUUAGUAGCGAAGUAGCUGAUUUCACACUGUCAAGAAAAGUCUCUAUCGAGGUUAAAGGUACCCGUACCGCAAACCGACACAGGUGGGUGAGGAGAGUAUCCUAAGGCCAGCGAGAGAACUGUUGUUAAGGAACUCGGCAAAAUGACCCCGUAACUUAGGGAUAAGGGGUGCCACCAUCAGGUGGCCGCAGAGAAUAGGCCCAAGCGACUGUUUACCAAAAACAUAGGUUUCUGCUAAGUCGCAAGACGAUGUAUAGGAGCUGACGCCUGCCCGGUGCUGGAAGGUUAAGGGGAUCUGUUAGAGCAAUCGAAGCAGUGAACUUAAGCCCCAGUAAACGGCGGCCGUAACUAUAACGGUCCUAAGGUAGCGAAAUUCCUUGUCGGGUAAGUUCCGACCCGCACGAAAGGCGUAACGAUUUGGGCACUGUCUCAACAACAGACUCGGUGAAAUUGUAAUUCCGGUGAAGAUGCCGGAUACCUGCGACAGGACGGAAAGACCCCAUGGAGCUUUACUGUAGCUUGACAUUGGGUCUUGGUACUACAUGUACAGGAUAGGUGGGAGGCUUUGAAACCAGGACGCCAGUUUUGGCGGAGCCAUCCUUGGGAUACCACCCUUGUAGUACUGGGACUCUAACCAUAGGCCAUGAAUCUGGUCUUGGGACACUGUCAGGUGGGCAGUUUGACUGGGGCGGUCGCCUCCCAAAAGGUAACGGAGGCGCUCAAAGGUUCUCUCAGUACGGUCGGAAAUCGUACGUAGAGUGUAAAGGCAAAAGAGAGCUUGAUUGCAAGACAUACAGGUCGAGCAAGGAUGAAAAUCGGACUUAGUGAUCCGGUGGUUCUGCGUGGAAGGGCCAUCGCUCAACGGAUAAAAGCUACCCUGGGGAUAACAGGCUUAUCUCCCCCAAGAGUCCACAUCGACGGGGAGGUUUGGCACCUCGAUGUCGGCUCAUCACAUCCUGGGGCUGUAGUAGGUCCCAAGGGUUGGGCUGUUCGCCCAUUAAAGUGGUACGCGAGCUGGGUUCAGAACGUCGUGAGACAGUUCGGUCCCUAUCCGUCGCAGGCGUAGGAAAUUUGAGAAGACCUGUCCUUAGUACGAGAGGACCGGGAUGGACGUACCUCUGGUGUACCAGUUGUCCUGCCAAGGGCAUGGCUGGGUAGCUAUGUACGGAAUGGAUAAGCGCUGAAAGCAUCUAAGCGCGAAGCCAACUUCAAGAUAAGAUUUCCCACCGCAAGGGUAAGACCCCAGAAAGACUAUCUGGUUGAUAGGUCGAAGGUGUAAGUGCAGCAAUGUAUUUAGCUUAUCGAUACUAAUAGGUCGAGGACUUGACCAA
rnacentral:rRNA from 1 species